rnacentral:rRNA from 1 species
UACAGAGGUCCCGAGCGUUGUUCGGAUUCAUUGGGCGUAAAGGGUGCGUAGGCGGCGGGGCAAGUCUGAUGUGAAAUCCCGAGGCUCAACCUCGGGCCUGCGGUGGGUACGGGCAGACUGGAGUGCGGUAGGGGAGAUUGGAAUUCCUGGUGUAGCGGUGAAAUGCGCAGAUAUCAGGAGGAACACCGAUGGCGAAGGCAGGUCUCUGGGCCACUACUGACGCUGAGAAGCGAAAGCAUGGGGAGCGAACAGG